UACGUAGGGGGCAAGCGUUGUCCGGAUUUAUUGGGCGUAAAGAGCGUGUAGGCGGCCAAGCAGGUCAGCUGUGAAAACUCGAGGCUCAACCUCGAGACGUCGGUUGAAACCGCUUGGCUAGAGUCCGGAAGAGGAGAGUGGAAUUCCCGGUGUAGCGGUGAAAUGCGCAGAUAUCAGGAGGAACACCGAUGGCGAAGGCAGGUCUCUGGGCCGAUACUGACGCUGGAGGAGCGAAAGCGUGGGGAGCGAACAGG
rnacentral:rRNA from 1 species